rnacentral:lncRNA from 1 species
UUAAGUUUAUUUACAAAUUUGAUUUAAGAAAAGAAGUUUGAAAAUGCAAUGGCAUAAGGCCAAAGUUUCUAUCUUUUUGCAAAGUGGUCAAAGUUUAGAACAAAAUAAGUUCAAUCAAAGAAGAUUUUGAAAAGGGAGGGAGAGAUUUUGAAAUUAAAGAAAUGGGGAGAAGAUGAAGAGACUAAUCCUAUACACAAAAUUAAAAGAUAAGAGUUGAAAAGAUCUGACCAAUGGGUAGAAAUCCAAUAGACAAGAAUGUCAAUAGAAACCCAGAAUUCCCUUGGACUUUUAGAAUCAAGCAACACACAAAU